rnacentral:misc_RNA from 1 species
GAUGAAGAACGUAGCGAAAUGCGAUACUUGGUGUGAAUUGCAGAAUCCCGUGAACCAUCGAGUCUUUGAACGCAAGUUGCGCCCGAAGCCACUAGGCCGAGGGCACGCCUGCCUGGGCGUCACACGUCGUUGCCCCCCCCCCAUCUACUCCUUCGGGAUUGCGGGGGGCGGAUGAUGGCCUCCCGUGCGCCUAGCCGCGCGGUUGGCAUAAAUACCAAGUCCUCGGCGACGCACGCCACGACAAUCGGUGGUUGCGAAACCUCGGUUGCCCGUCGUGUGCGUUCGUCGCGCAUCGAGGGCUCGAAGAAAUGCUCGGCUCCGGCUCGGCUUUCAACGCGACCCCAGGUCAGGCGGGGUUACCCGCUGAAUUUAAGCAUAUCAAUAAGCGGAGGA